AGUGAACGCCGGCGGCAGGCCUAACACAUGCAAGUCGAACGGCAGCACAGCCGGGGCAACCCGGUGGGUGGCGAGUGGCGGACGGGUGAGGAAUACAUGGGAAUCUGCCCUGUCGUGGGGGAUAACGUAGGGAAACUUACGCUAAUACCGCAUACGACCGGAAGGUGAAAGCGGCGGACCGCAAGGCGUCGCGCGACUGGAUGAGCCCAUGUCGGAUUAGCUAGUUGGCGGGGUAAAGGCCCACCAAGGCGACGAUCCGUAGCUGGUCUGAGAGGAUGAUCAGCCACACUGGAACUGAGACACGGUCCAGACUCCUACGGGAGGCAGCAGUGGGGAAUAUUGGACAAUGGGCGCAAGCCUGAUCCAGCCAUGCCGCGUGAGUGGAGAAGGCCUUCGGGUUGUAAAGCUCUUUUGUCCGGAAAGAAAAGCCUUCGGUUAAUACCCGGGGGUGAUGACGGUACCGGAAGAAUAAGCACCGGCUAACUUCGUGCCAGCAGCCGCAGUAACAC
rnacentral:rRNA from 1 species